CCGGCAAACUCCGUGCCAGCAGCCGCGGUAAUACGGAGGGUGCAAGCGUUAAUCGGAAUUACUGGGCGUAAAGCGCGCGUAGGCGGUUUGUUAAGUCGGAUGUGAAAGCCCUGGGCUCAACCUGGGAACUGCAUUCGAUACUGAUCGACUAGAGUACGAGAGAGGGAGGUAGAAUUCCACGUGUAGCGGUGAAAUGCGUAGAUAUGUGGAGGAAUACCGGUGGCGAAGGCGGCCUCCUGGCUCGAUACUGACGCUGAGGUGCGAAAGCGUGGGUAGCAAACAGGAUUAGAUACCCUGGUAGUCCACGCCGA
rnacentral:rRNA from 1 species